rnacentral:rRNA from 1 species
GGGGAAUUUUCCGCAAUGGGCGAAAGCCUGACGCAGCGACGCCGCGUGAGGGAAGAAGGCCUGCGGGUCGUAAACCUCUUUUCUGGGGGAAGAUAAUGACGGUACCUCAGGAAUAAGCAUCGGCUAACUACGUGCCAGCAGCCGCGGUAAUACGUAGGAUGCGAGCGUUGUCCGGAUUCACUGGGCGUAAAGGGAGCGCAGGCGGCUGGGUAAGUCCGUGGUGCAAGCUCCAGGCUCAACCUGGAGAGGUCUGCGGAUACUGCUUGGCUUGAGGACGGUAGAGGAGCGCGGAAUUCCUGGUGUAGUGGUGAAAUGCGUAGAUAUCAGGAGGAACACCCGUGGCGAAAGCGGCGCUCUGGGCCGAUCCUGACGCUCAGGCUCGAAAGCGUGGGGAGCGAACCGGAUUAGAUACCCUGGUAGUCCACGCCGUAAACGGUGGGCACUAGGUGUGGGACCCUGUCAACGGGUUCCGUACACGUAGCUAACGCUUUAAGUGUCCCGCCUGGGGAGUACGG